GUAAAGCUGUGUGUAUCAUAUUUGAUAGAUGUUUUUCUACAUCAUCAACAUGAUCAAUACUUUGCUGAAAAACCUAUUGUGUGCAAUGUACUAAAUGUCUUCUUCCUCCUGGUGAAAGUUACGAUGCUCUUCUGGAAGUCACUUCUGCACUAUUCUAGUAGUGCACUACAAGUAGUGUGAGUAUGUUUUCACUGAAAAUACAACAACAAGAAUGUACUACGAGUACCCGGAUGCAGUUCUUGAAACAUCAAAACAGAGUGUGAAAUUCUGGACACUUGAUGCAAUCAGCGCUCGCAGCUUUCCGUACAUAGCUGAAGGGACGUAGUUACUUGGAUGCGUUGCUGGUCUGAAAAAACAGUUGUAAAUAAUGGAGAAUGUAGCCACUAGCAAAACUACAGUUAAGACCUUACAAAUAAAUCUGGUCACCUGAGCCUUAAUGUGCUUUUGGAAUCCUGGCCCAUGUUGAAACAGACUGUGAAUGAAGCAUAUCAAAUUCACCUGAAAGCUCUCAGACAGGAAACACAUUCCCACAUGCAACAACAGAAUUGCAUCUGAAUAGUGCAACUCCUCACAUGAAAAUAUAGCAUACAGUGACUUGUCAUUGAGCUCAUAAUUCCAGCUCCAGUUUCAAACCCAUGCUCUUGGAAACA